ACGAACAGUUGGAAACGACUGCUAAUACCGCAUACGAUCCAAUCUCGGCAUCGAGACUGGAUGAAAGGUGGCCUCUAUUUAUAAGCUAUCACUGAAGGAGGGGAUUGCGUCUGAUUAGCUAGUUGGAGGGGUAACGGCCCACCAAGGCGAUGAUCAGUAGCCGGUCUGAGAGGAUGAACGGCCACAUUGGGACUGAGACACGGCCCAGACUCCUACGGGAGGCAGCAUG
rnacentral:rRNA from 1 species